rnacentral:rRNA from 1 species
CGGGUGAGUAACGCGUAAUCAACCUGCCCUUCAGAGGGGGACAACAGUUGGAAACGACUGCUAAUACCGCAUACGAUCUAAUCUCGGCAUCGAGGAUAGAUGAAAGGUGGCCUCUACAUGUAAGCUAUCACUGAAGGAGGGGAUUGCGUCUGAUUAGCUAGUUGGAGGGGUAACGGCCCACCAAGGCGAUGAUCAGUAGCCGGUCUGAGAGGAUGAACGGCCACAUUGGGACUGAGACACGGCCCAG